AUGUCUCAUGGAGAACUUGUUGUUCUAAAACCAACUAAGCCUCUAGACUACUUGAAGCUUAUGAUGAACUCUAGGGAAACCAAUGCUAUGGCUAGUCACGACAUCAAGGACUUACCCAAACAAGUUGACCUGUUAACUGCAUCUUCAGUUGUCAUUAAGUUUGUGAUGGAGUUUUAUGCCUUCUUGGAUCAACUCUUGGUCGACCUUGCUCACAAGAAUGAUGCCCAAAUGAAGAAGUUACCUAAGGAACAAACUAGAGCUCAAUAA